UCACAUGUAAACAUAAGAGAAAAUAAAGUUAUAAAACCUAAGGAUGGCUUAGCAGUUAAGAGCCCUUGUUACUCUUGUAGAGAGUACAGAUUCCCAAAACCCACAUAGGAGCUUCACAACCAUCUGUAACUCCAUUUCCAGGCACCAGUGCCCACUUCUGAAUUCCACUGGCACCAGGAAUGCUCAUGGUACACAUAAAUAAAUGCAGGUAAAACAUUCAUACCCAUAAAUAAAUUCUUAAAAUUUUUACAUAAGUAAAAUUUAAUGGUGUGGGCUGGCAGUUCUUCAGUUCUUUCUUUACUGCCAUGCCAUGCCCCUUGCAACUAUACAAAAAAAAAAAAAAAAAAAAAAAAACAAAACAAAACAAAAACCUUCUCUGCUUACAAAAAAAUUAAAGAUAUCACAAAAAAAAGGAGGUGGUGAAAAACAUUUUGGCUUAUGCUAUUUUGAGAUUAAGUUACUAGUGUUUCAUCAGAAAAUCAGCAUUCUCAAAUUGAAUAUAACAGAUCAUUUUUCCUCUGUAAUCAUUUGCCCAACAUUGUGCGUGUUUGACUUUUGCAUGCACAUUUGAAUUUAUAUCUGGAAAUAGAAGUAUCAAAAUAAAGGAAUUAAGAUUUUAUGUGAUGGCUCAUUCCAGUAAUCCCAAUACCCUGGAGGCUAAAACAGAAGGACUUGGGGUCAAGGCCAGCUUGAUCUCUAUAGAGUGUUCCAAGCCAGCUUAAGCUUCAUAGUGAGUUCCAUCUCAAAAAACAAACAAACAAAUAGUAAAAUUUAUCAAUUUUUGUUUACUAAAUAUUUGGUUGAAUUGUAUUUCCUUUUUACUGUUUCCCCCUCACAAAAUUUGACAAUCUGGCCUUUAAUACCAAGUAGGAGUACUAUGUUAGGUUUGUCCAGAGACUACAGAGGGAACAAAUUGUCUUUUCAGAGUCUGGUAAAUAUUACAGUAGCCAUUCUUUUUUUAGUUUGAAAUUAGGAAUUGGUAAGUGUACAAGUGUAGCUUGUAUUUGAUAUCUUACUUAAUAUUUAAUGAUGGCUAGGCAUAAGGUAUCCUCUGAAGUGGAAGAUUAAAUUACUCUGAUUUAAGUUUCUUCUGUGUAAGACUUAGUGUUAUCAAUAGCAAAACUAUUGACAAUAGAAAAAACAGUAUUUCUUCAUAA
rnacentral:lncRNA from 1 species